CAGUUAUAUCAAACUGAACCCCAAAGAUUGAUAUUUGUUCAUAAAACUGAAUAGAAUGCACCUGUAACAGAGAAUAAAAAACCAUCUUUUAUCAUAAUUAUCAAUAAUUUAAAGGCUUACAGUCGAAAUCACUACUAUAAUAUACGAUGUAUUUUUUUGUAUUUGGGACAGCAAAUCUUUGUUCUGCUGCUGAAGGAAAAGAGCUUGCUUUUGGAGCCUUUGGUUAUCUUCAAAAAUACUUUUGCUCUUCAGAUACAGCUUUAAGUUCUUCAUUUCCAUAAUCUCCAACUGGCCCACCUUGGCCUUUUUAAUGGCUUCCUUUGACUAUCUCGGCCUCCUGUUACAAUAACAAUAUGUUGUUACUGACUACUGCUAUGGCAGGUGCCUGGUGUUGAGAGAGAGAGAGAGAGAUGACUGACCUGUUUAGCCGGCGAACAUGAACCCUGUUUCUCUUUUGCAGACAUGGUUGUAAAACAGCUGAAGAUGAGGGUUGAUUUGAAAUGUUUGUGCCCAUUUUUCUCAAGAAAAUGUCUCAAAAAGAGGGAAUUUUGCUUUGGGAUUGAUAGGGGGAAAUAAGACACAGUUUUUAG
rnacentral:lncRNA from 1 species